CCCCCCCCCCCCCUAAUAUCUUGGUUAACAUACUUCGUUAGUAUACUCAACAUGAUACUUUGCAUUACUGUUAAUAAACUAGUCAACUAUGGAAUGUUAUAGUCGCCUGACAUUUCUGUCCAAUCUCAUGUGAUUUUCCACCUUUUACUUAGUGUCAGUAUCAGUCUCUUUAGCUAAUAUUCCAAUCCACGACACCCGUCAAUGCCAAAUUAUGUAUUUGCCAUGGUGUACAAGGAAUGUAAUGUAAGCUAAAAAGACUGCACCUAUGCUACGUGUUAUGCACUAAUAUGAAAUACAGAAUUUCCUAUCUUACAAAAUGGCAGAAAUGAGUCCUAAUGCUAUGGUAAAACAGGUCUAAAAGGCAACCAUCAGUAGUUUGCCUUAACCCAGCAUGGAACAGCCUCUGGCUUGUAAUGUUGCAAACAUACAUAAGUCAUGCUAUAUUGUCCUUACAUUAUUCAAGCAUAAGCAUACAGGCCUAUGAUCCAGGACCAUUAAGUCACUUCCUAAAUUAGGCUGUUUCACGUGAUGCAUCAUACAACUCAUCAUACAACAAAUCAGUUAUUAAAAUGUUAUUACAACUCGACUAUGAGCAGGAAUGGCAACUUUCUUGCAGCAGCUCUACAAUACCUUUCAAAGACCUUUUCAAUCAAUGUUUACAAAACACAAAGUAAUGACAAAAGAUUAAAGUACAAAGCCAUCGAAACUGUUCUUGUGUCCUCAAUUUGAACUCAGCCUGGGCUCCCAUGUUGUAGCCAGGCUGAUGUAAACACAGACACAACAGACAGCCGUGUGUGGUGAAGCGUGACAGUUGACCAGUGCCGGCUCAGAUGUAUGCCAGGUUCAUAGUUCCACAGGGAAGAUCAAAGGAAGGGUUGAUGACAGCACCGUUAGUAGUGUCUGAAGGGGCUCCACAAGACAGUGGAUAUCCAGAACAGGCUGUGAAAGGGCUGAAGGAUAUGGACAGUAAAUAGAGUUGUGGAAAUAGAGAGGGCCAGGUGGACACAUAAAAGACACCAGCUCUUUGUUACAGGCUUCUUCUGCAGGUAACAACUGUUUUUUGAGUCUUGUCCAUGGGGUAAGAAAUUGAUGGGUUCCUGAAAAUAGAUUGAGAAACAAAAUAAACAGAGCAAUAAAC
ensembl:lncRNA